rnacentral:tRNA from 1 species
CAGAUUUCAAUUUUAAUUUGGAUUUAAUUUUUUUUUAAUCUGA